rnacentral:pre_miRNA from 1 species
CAAUUACUCCCUCCGUUCGGAAUUACUUGUCUUGGAAAUGGAUGUAUCUAGAACUAAAAUAUGUCUAGAUACAUUCAUUUCUGCGACAAGUAAUUCCGAACGAAGGGAGUACGUA